UGGGGAAUAUUGGACAAUGGAGGGAACUCUGAUCCAGCAAUUCUGUGUGCACGAAGAAGGUUUUCGGAUUGUAAAGUGCUUUCAGUAGGGAAGAAGAAAGUGACGGUACCUACAGAAGAAGCGACGGCUAAAUACGUGCCAGCAGCCGCGGUAAUACGUAUGUCGCAAGCGUUAUCCGGAAUUAUUGGGCUUAAAGGGCAUCUAGGCGGUUUUUCAAGUCAGGGGUGAAAACUUAUGGCUCAACUAUAAGCUUGCCUUUGAAACUGAAAGACUAGAGUACUGGAAAGGUGGGUGGAACUACACGAGUAGAGGUGAAAUUCGUAGAUAUGUGUAGGAAUGCCGAUGAUGAAGAUAACUCACUGGACAGAAACUGACGCUGAAGUGCGAAAGCUAGGGGAGCAAACAGGAUUAGAUACCCUGGUAGUCCUAGCUGUAAACGAUGAUCACUGGGUGUGGGGAUGAAUAGUCUCUGUGCCGAAGCAAAAGCGAUAAGUGAUCCGCCUGGGGAGUACGUACGCAAGCAU
rnacentral:rRNA from 1 species